UACGUAGGGGGCAAGCGUUGUCCGGAUUUAUUGGGCGUAAAGAGCGUGUAGGCGGCCAGACAGGUCAGCUGUGAAAACUCGAGGCUCAACCUCGAGACGUCGGUUGAAACCGUCUGGCUAGAGUCCGGAAGAGGAGAGUGGAAUUCCCGGUGUAGCGGUGAAAUGCGCAGAUAUCGGGAAGAACACCCGUGGCGAAGGCGGCUCUCUGGGACGGUACUGACGCUGAGGUGCGAAAGCGUGGGGAGCAAACAGG
rnacentral:rRNA from 1 species